UGCAGGAAAAAACUUUCCAAAUUAGGAAGCAACAUCCGGCUCAGACUUCAUAUAAACAUCUGCAAGACAGUCUCUCCAGCCUUCAGCUAACUGUCGUACUGAAGUCUGGGACACUGACAGCUCUCACAGUCCAGCAUCUAUAGAAUUAAACCUUUUUAGCAAUUUACAGGACAAACGCGGACAUACUAUCAGUACAAGAAAGGAAGAUACAAGAGAUGAGAAUUUUAAAGAUCACAAUCGUCAUUUUCAUAAUAGUGACGACAUCUUCAAAACCAGUCCGCCGUUUUAAAUACCAUUUUGUGAACACGAUCGACAGCAGCUCGUCUGAGUCAUCUGAAUUAUCUGAAUCCUCAGAAUCCAGCGAUUCAAGUUUUUCUUCAGAAGAGACUUUGGUUCGAGAGACAACGCGACAGCCGAUCACUGCAGAUCGGACGACCCCCCCAGACUUUUCAGGGACAGUGGUGCCCGUCAUCGCAGAAACCACACCUCAGCCAGCCGUGGCAGACACAGCCCCGCCCCUAACCAUCACCAUGGCAGCAGUUCGACUUCUCAUUGCCAACACCACUCCUCAGGAAGUUACAGAUGAGAGAACUCCUCCCACAGUCGUCAUGACAACAAUGGCACCAAUAACUGCAGAGACAAACAGUCAAACAGAGGCUGGCAGAACAGCUGUGGCAGAGCCUGUCACUAUGCUGUGUUAUACUGUUAGAGCAGAUAAGGUAAGGGACCCUAAAGUUACAGAGAGUAGAGGGGAUAGCUUAUAGCUCAUGACAUGCAAAAUCUUGGGAUUUUGGGUAACAUGAUUAAAUGCUAUUGCUAUGGAUCAAUUUUACAAUUAAUUUUUAUAGGCCCAGUUUUUUUAAAUGUUUUUUUGUCUGGAUGAGUGUGUUUAAGAUACACCUGGUUAUUUAUAUGGUAUUCAAUUGCCAAACUGCCCAACAUUACAUUCACAUUUUGUCCAGCUCAACUACACGUUACUGUAGAACAGUACAAACUGCAGAAUAGAAUAACAAAACAAACUGCUCACACAUUUUGACUAAACCUAAAAUUACAGCACUCAUUUUGUGCAUAUUCUAAACCUUCUCUCACAUGCUUUAGAGAGGAUUAUGUGUUGUAAUUGUAACAAGUGUGUGUGGUUCACUGUAAAAAAAAAAAAUUAAAAAAAGACCAAUCAAGAGGAUUGCCAAUUUUAGCACUGGAAUUAGCAGACCAAUAAGAAUAUCACCACUCUCUAGAACAUUUAUUUACAUUUGUCUUUCUUUUACAAAUAAAGCAUUACCUACAGAAUAAACCAUACAAGAAGCACUCUGUCUACGAUUCCUCUCUCAGCAAUACCAAGUUGUUCAAUAUAAGCCCAGCAGGAAGAGAGAUAAUAUAAUUGUUCUAUACAAA